GCCAUCGUAGUGUAAUGAUCAGCACACUCGGCGCGCAUUCGAAAGGUUCGAGGUUCGAGUCCUGGCGAGGGCA
rfam:Stegodyphus mimosarum contig62230, whole genome shotgun sequence.